CACUGAGAAGAGGCAACAGUCUGAGGUUUGGUGGAGCCAGGAUAGCCUUUCAGUCUGAGGCUACUACCGAAAGCUGCCCGGAGUCAGUCCAGAAGAUGAUUUAGAGCAGUGAUCAGCUGUAAGUCAUUUAGAGCCAGUGUAAAGGGCUUGCAUUUUACAUCUGCUGUGAAGACUUACAACCUGCAGGCCAAGGAUGAUGAGGACUUAUACCAUUAUUGAGCUCCUUCUAUAUAUCCAGCAUUUUUGUCGAGCACAUUAUAUGCAAUAAAUUGAUUUAAACAGGGAGGAAACCCACACAUUAUUGGAGUGGAAUCGCAUACUUGAGUCAUUAUUUAAUUUUCAUUGACUUCCAUCUUAGACCUAAAAUAAUAAAUGGCAUUGUUUCAGGCAGUGCUUAUGUCUUAAAGUGUUCAUAUGUGGCAAUUGAAGUUGAAUUGUGAAAAAUGUAUUGUGCAACAUUCCUGUAAACAGAACUCAUAGCAAAACGGGAAGAUACCCAUACACUAUAAAAAUCUCCACCUCUUGAACUACCUGAGUGUGUGGAUAUGAUGCGUUCCACUCACUGAGUAGGUUAUAAAGGCUGGGACAUUGGUCUGGGGAGAAGUCAGUGAAACGCAGUGUGUGGACUUUGUGAUGAGAUGGAAGAGCCAAACCAGACAAGUUCCUAAAUUCUCUGAGCAUCCUUGGCUAAAAAGAAGAUAACAUGUCUCUUACAAAAUUUGUUGAAGAAUAGCACGGACACAAAAAGGAAAAAUAGAUUUUAGCUCGAGAUAGGGUGUCAGUGGAAUUUACUCUAUCCCCAUUUUGGAUCUAUUUAUGAAACUCCCUCAUGUUAUGUGCGAUGUCAUUUACUGUUAUUUUUCUACUUGCUUUGACUUUCAUAACAUAUAUAUCUCUCUCUGUGUGUGUUAUAUAUCUGUAUAUACAUCCCCUGAUGUACUUUCUGGGCAGUUGUUAUUCACAGUUACUAGAGUUAGCUUGAAGAGAUAGAUACUGCUGUUUGGAGCACAGUGCAUAGUUGCAUUAACAUCAGGCUAGUCACAGAGGAGAAAACCACACGUGUAAGUUGAAGAGUAAGGAAAGUGAAGACUUAAAGGAGGAUCCAGAGCUGUCUAUGGCAAAUAGAGCUGGUGAAGGUAGUGUCAGUGGUGGUGGUGAUGAUAGAGAGUUGCUGGUGAGGAUAGAGUUAAUACUCUAGGUAAUGUAGGGAUGGUGAUGGCGGAGAGAGGGCAGUGUAGGUAAUGGGGUUGGUGAUACUGGAGGAGAUGGUAAUGAUUGUGGAGUAGACAGUAGUGGAGCUGUUGGCAAUAGUGGCAAUAGUUGAUAGAAAUUAUGGUGGUAAAAGCAUUGGUGAUAAUAAUUAGGCACAUAGAAGUGUGGGGAUGGUGGAAUUGAUGCUGAUGAUGGUGGGGAGAAUGGGUGGAGACGAUGGAUGUGGUAUGUAUGUGUGUGUAGGGAGGGGCUUAAGGCAUACAUUGUAAUAAUGACGUGGCUGAGACAGAGUGGUAGGAAAUAUAUGAGGCUGGUGCAGAGAGCAGGUGCAUAUGGGUAAUGAGCAGAGAAUGCAGACAGCACCCAGGUCAGGAUAAGGGGUGCUGCUGCUCUUAGUAGAGGCCCUGCCUUUUCCUGAGACAGGAAAGAAAGGAUGGAUAUGGGCAGCUCUUAAGUAAGAAUUGAAAUGAUUUCUUUGAAUGGCUUUAAGCUUUUCUGAGAUGCAAAGGAAACGUUUCUAGAGAGGGUGCCAGAAGGUAGAGCCUGCCUGUGCCUGGAGGGGCAUGGGGUAAGCUGGAGAUGGCACUGUGGAGAAGGUAGGGAUGUCCGAAGCAACACAAUGAAGUGCUUGGGCAACUCAAAGAAAGUAGGCAGCAGGGGCCUUCCAGGGACAUGAGGAAGAGAGUGGGGGCUCUGGAAUGGUCAGAUUUUGAAGUGACAAGCUGAUGUGGCAAUAGGAAUGACUGUGCACUGUCUGACCUCCACUGGGCAACUCACCCACCACACUACGGGCAGUCAGCAUUCUUGCUCAGAAUAGCUCAUGGCUGCACCCAAGCUGGGCUUUCUCCCUUUCUGAGAGGGGGACAUGAUUCAUCUUAUAGUCCAAUUAGAGGUGUUGGGGGGCAGGUAUGACUCUCCAUCUAAUACUGAGUGACUCAGAAACCAAGGAAUCUGCAGAGCCAUCCCCCGACACCAAGGGCUUGUCUGAGAAGAAAGGAGUUAGCAUGUGGGUUGAGGAAGAAGAGAAGACUGGCAGAAACUAGGAGGUGUAUACCAUACUAUUGGGGUACAUUUGUAUCCAUAUUGUUGAAAGGAGUCUGCAUGUACAUGUUAUUAAUAGCUUAUCAUGAAUACACUAUAAAUGACUUGCUUGAUCUAACUCAGUGCCUAUUGGGGGAGUGCAUGGUGGACACUGGCAGAUCCUAACUAGACACAACAUUCCAAAGGAAUGCCUUAGCCCCAAUGUCCAGAGGUAGGUAAGUUCAGGGGGUAGUCAGGAUCAUGACACUGACAUCAUAAGUCUCAUGGACAUGGCUGACCACCCCAGUAGAGGGGCAAGAUGAACUUUAAUUGGAUACCUUUCUCUUCCCUGUAAAGCAUGCUGGCUGGAGGUGGGAUAGAAGGUGUUUGUUUCCUGAAGUGUUAACCUGCUGCCUUCUGCUGGCUCUCCGAACAAAGCAUAACUUACAUAUCCGUGUCUCUGCUCAAUGGUGUUUGCAAUGGCAGGCAGCAUGAGCUCUGGAGUCUGGUCAUGCAUUUUGGUGACUCCAUUAGAAUGGCUUAAGAACUCUGCAGUCAGUCACUGAGUUAAUGAGUAGUUCUAGGAUGCUGAGCUGUCCUGCCCCCUUUAAUUUCACUCUCCCUUGCGGGGCUCCUAACAUUCUCUCAUGCUUUCACUUAGCCAAUUCAAUCAAUGCCCCUUCUGGGUUUGCUCCUGGGUUUUAGCUCAUCUAGCCUCUGUCCUGAAAGUGAUUUCGGUGAUUUCUUCCCCCAUCUGGGGGACUUUCCCUGCCACCUCCUUCCAGCGAUAAAGCCUGUUUAGUCUAUAGGAUCCUGUCUGUUCAGUUCUGUCUGGCUUAUUUCAGUGGUCUGACUCAGGGUAGUGACCAUUCCUGGUGACAGCGUCUUGGAAAGUGUUCUGGAAACUGUGGUCUGACUGUGGUUAGAACCAUUGAAAAAGAAGAAAAUGUUGUACUAUCAUGAUACAGUUUAGUUACUCUACAUACUGGCUUCUUGAGGGAAAUAGCCAUUAAAUGGAUCUCAAACUUACUGUUUUGCCAAGGACUGAAAUAAGAAAAGGUGUUACCCUAAGUGUUCCUGUCAAACCCUGUCUUUGAUUUGCUUUCACUUAAGGAAGUUCUGAGAUGUGAGCUUCCUACCUCCUGUUGACUAAGAGUUCACUCUGAAUUAAUGUUACUGGUUUUUAUGUGUCAUUUUGUGUUUAAAACAGCAUGGGACAAAGUUUGAUGGAACUUCUGAAAAUAACAGAAGAGCAAAUGUGUGGCUGGUUCAGGGAUACAAAUAGAUAUAUACUGUUCAUGGUUAUAAUUGACUUUUCUAAUUUAUCAGAAAAAUAAAUACAAAUUUAUAUGGGAUUUGUAAAAUAAAUCCUAUAGUGCUUCUAAGGUUUAUGUAUGAUUAUGCUGCUAAUAACCAAAAUAUUAUGUAAGUGUUUUAUGCUUUGCUUUCAAAGAAUUAGAUUUGUUUGUUUGGUUGGUUUUGGUUUUGGUUUUUCAAGACAGGAUUUCUCUGUAUAGCCUUCAAUGUGCGUCCUGGAACUCACCCUGUAGACCAGGCUGGCCUUGAACUCACAUAGAUCUACCUGCCUCUGCCUCCCUAAUGCUGGGGUUAAAGGUGUGCACCAUUACUGCCUGGCUGCAAUUAGAUGUUCUUAAAUAUCAACCUACUUUUAAUAAAAUUUGAAAAGGUC